rnacentral:rRNA from 1 species
GACGAACGCUGGCGGCGUGCCUAAUACAUGCAAGUCGAACGCGGCUUUUUGAUUGAUGCUUGCAUCAGCUAAAAAGCCGAGUGGCGAACGGGUGAGUAACACGUGGGUAACCUGCCUUGAAGCGGGGGAUAACAUUUGGAAACAGAUGCUAAUACCGUAUAAACCUCAGAAACACAUGUUUCUGAGUUGAAAGGCGGCUUUCGAGCUGUCGCUUUUGGAUGGACCCGCGGCGUAUUAGCUAGUUGGUGAGGUAAAGGCUCACCAAGGCAGUGAUACGUAGCCGACCUGAGAGGGUGAUUGGCCACAUUGGGACUGAGACACGGCCCAAACUCCUACGGGAGGCAGCAGUAGGGAAUCUUCCACAAUGGACGAAAGUCUGAUGGAGCAACGCCGCGUGAGUGAAGAAGGUUUUCGGAUCGUAAAACUCUGUUGUUGGAGAAGAACACGUUUGAGAGUAACUGUUCAGACGUUGACGGUAUCCAACCAGAAAGCCACGGCUAACUACGUGCCAGUAGCCGCGGUAAUACGUAGGUGGCAAGCGUUAUCCGGAUUUAUUGGGCGUAAAGCGAGCGCAGCGGUUUCUUAAGUCUGAUGUGAAAGCCUUCGGCUUAACCGAAGAAGUGCAUC